rnacentral:rRNA from 1 species
AGUGAACGCUGGCGGUAGGCCUAACACAUGCAAGUCGAACGGCAGCACAGUAAGAGCUUGCUCUUACGGGUGGCGAGUGGCGGACGGGUGAGGAAUACAUCGGAAUCUACUUUUUCGUGGGGGAUAACGUAGGGAAACUUACGCUAAUACCGCAUACGACCUACGGGUGAAAGCAGGGGAUCUUCGGACCUUGCGCGAUUGAAUGAGCCGAUGUCGGAUUAGCUAGUUGGCGGGGUAAAGGCCCACCAAGGCGACGAUCCGUAGCUGGUCUGAGAGGAUGGUCAGCCACACGAGAACUGAGACACGGUCCAGACUCCUACGGGAGGCAGCAGUGUGGAAUAUUGGACAAUGGGCGCAAGCCUGAUCCAGCCAUACCGCGUGGGUGACGAAGGCCUUCGGGUUGUAAAGCCCUUUUGUUGGGAAAGAAAAGCAGCAGGUUAAUACCCCGCUGUUCUGACGGUACCCAAAGAAUAAGCACCGGCUAACUUCGUG